rnacentral:lncRNA from 1 species
GUGUUCCUUUGUUUUAGUUGGCAUUAAGGGACAUAUUUUCAGAAACCAGUUUUGGGUUUGCGUUAACUUCUUAUGUUUCAUGCUCAUAAGUAUUGAAUAGAGGAUGCCCCUGGUGUCUUUUGUUUUGUUCAGUUUCCUUCAGGCAGCACCUCCUGUGCCCCAUGGGAAGAACCUUGGAAAGCAGUCAGCAGUCCGUGCAUUCACUGAUGGGGUGAGUGGUAAAGCAGUAACCUCCCCAGAGAUCUUUGUCUUAAAAAGUUGUUUUCAUUUUUAGCGUUUUACAUUUGUGUGUGUGUUUAAAUAAAAUAACUUGCAUAAUUCAUUUUCAGAUAAAUGAGCAGUCACAGAAAAUAAGCUUUCUCUUUUUUUUCUUUUUUUUAAAAUGUAACUGCCAUGUGGACAAGAAAACCAACUUCCAGACCAAGCUCCCCUCUCUCUACACUCAGUUGGAUGAGGCGUCUGUGCCUCAUUCCCUGUCCUCCGCUGGAUUUCAUCUCAGCUGGAAACAGCUGUGCCUUCUCAGUGGGUGACACUGUCCUUGACAAGGACAUCAAACAUGGUGCCCUCAGCCCAUCUCUACCCACCAGACCUCACUACUUGGGAUAUGAGUUUCAAGAAUAAAACACAGGGAGACAAAAUGCAGUCAUCAUUUAUGCCAACAACAGUGUCUUAGAUUCUGUGCAUCAUUAUCAUUGCCAUUGUGAUUGUUUCUUCACCCUCCUGUGUUUUCCAAGGUCAGCCCUGAGCUUUUUCUUCAAUUUGAUGGCCUGUGCACCUCCCUCACUCU